AGCAGCCGCGGUAAUUCCAGCUCCAAUAGCGUAUAUUAAAGUUGUUGCAGUUAAAAAGCUCGUAGUUGAAUUUCGGGAUCAUCAGGUUGGUCGUGCCUCUGGUAUGUACUUUCCUCGAUGGUUCCUCCUUCUUGAAGAACCGUAAUGCCAUUAAUUUGGUGUUGCGGGGAAACAGGACUGUUACUUUGAAAAAAUUAGAGUGUUUAAAGCAGGCAAUCGCUUGAAUACAUUAGCAUGGAAUAAUGAAAUAGGACGUUCGAUCCUAUUUUGUUGGUUUCUAGGAUUGACGUAAUGAUUAAUAGGGAUAGUUGGGGGCAUUAGUAUUCAAUUGUCAGAGGUGAAAUUCUUGGAUUUAU
rnacentral:rRNA from 1 species